GAUCAUUAUCGAAGUUACUCUUCAUACCCAUUUGUGAACACUACCCCAUUGCCGCGCGUUGCCUCGGCGGUGAGGUCCGCGGGGGGGCGGGCUGCGCUCCGGCGCUGCCCCGCCCCUCCCGGGCCCCCGCCGGCCGCGCCUUACUCUUAAUUUGCAAAGCGGACUGUACGAUCUGAUUAAUCUUGAUAAACAAGUCAAAACUUUCAACAACGGAUCUCUUGGCUCUGGCAUCGAUGAAGAACGCAGCGAAAUGCGAUAAGUAAUGUGAAUUGCAGAAUUCAGUGAAUCAUCGAAUCUUUGAACGCACAUUGCGCCCGGCAGCAAUCUGCCGGGCAUGCCUGUCCGAGCGUCAUUUCUCCCCUCGAGCGCGGUUGGCCCCUAGCGGGCCGGCCGCCGCCCGGUGUUGGGGCACUGCGGGCCACAGCGCCCGCAGGCCCUUAAAUGAAGUGGCGGUCCCGCCGCGGCGCCCCCUGCGUAGUAGUAAAGCACCUCGCAUAGGGCCCCGGCGAAGACCAGCCGUCGAACCUAUCUCUUUGAUGGUUUGACCUCGGAUCAGGUAGGGAUACCCGCUGAACUUAAGCAUAUC
rnacentral:misc_RNA from 1 species